GGCUGCUCCGAGUGCAGUGGAAGUUACAACUAAUUGAUUACAGUCACAGAUUCCUUUGUUCAUUCUCCACUCCCACUGCUUCACUUGACUAGGAAAA
rnacentral:Y_RNA from 1 species